rnacentral:tRNA from 1 species
GCUCCAGUGGCGCAAUCGGUUAGCGAGUGGUACUUAUAAUGCCGCGGUUAUGAGUUCAAGCCUCACCUGGAGCA